rnacentral:rRNA from 1 species
AUACGGAGGAUCCGAGCGUUAUCCGGAUUUAUUGGGUUUAAAGGGUGCGCAGGCGGCCAUUUAAGUCAGCGGUUAAAUCGUGGGGCUCAACCCCAUUCUGCCGUUGAUACUGGGUGGCUUGAUUGCGGUCAAGGUUGGCGGAAUUCGUUGUGUAGCGGUGAAAUGCAUAGAUAUGACGAAGAACACCGAUUGCGUAGGCAGCUGACCAGACCGCAAAUGACGCUCAUGCACGAAAGUGCGGGGAUCGAACAGGAUUAGAUACCCUGGUAGUCUGCACAGUAAACGAUGAAUACUUGUUUUCGGCGAUAUAAUGUCGGAGGCAAAGCGAAAGCGAUAAGUAUUCCACCUGGGGAGUACGCCGGCAAAGGUGAAACUCAAAUGAAUUGACGGG